AGCGGGUUAAAGAUGGAGCCGGCAGGCGAGGGGCCGCCACGAGGUGCAGGGUCGUCUGGACGGGGACCCGGGGGCAGACGAUGGCCGGGAUCCUCUUCCGUCUAACCCUCCGCGUCCUGACCGGGCCCUGGGCGGAAGGGAUGUCUGCGCCGCUGGGAAGCAGUGCAAUGAUGAAAGGGCAUCGGUCAGGUCCAGCCUGCUACCCUGGGAGGGGGAAAGGGAGCUUGCUGCCUCACUCCACUUUCCAGUUGAGAAGGUUGAGGUGCCCAGAGGAGAGGUGUGCCCUGAACCUGCAGGAGGGACUGAGGUGUCUAACAUUCCAACCGUCCCAGCUGGAAUACAGGGUUGGAGCUGAACUUCCAAGGAGCCUGACCCCAGGCAUGCUUGGAUGACCACCUCUACCAUCAAGACCUGACACGGUGCAAAAGGCACCAGGGGCCAUGGCUGGAGGUGGCCACCCCUCAGUCCUGUACAGAUUCUGUACCCACUGGCUGGAGACCCCCAUGCAGCUGUCUCCUGCUCUUGCUGCGGGGAGACUGAACUCAGGGCUCUGCUCACUGGCUCCCUCCCAAUGGAAGCCUUCUCUGGGCUUCACAGCAUUGAAUAUUCCUCCAGAACA
rnacentral:lncRNA from 1 species